UGUAGAUUCGGUAGAAUACGAGCGGCAACAAUUGAUUCACAUUCAUUUCCUCUAUGCUGAAAAACAUGCAUCCCUGUAACAGAUAAACUCACUUUCUUUCUAUAAGUUUGUGAUCUUUCAUGCCUUUUGCAGAUGGAAUAAAUAAAUAAAAAGAAUUAAAAUCACAACCUCUCUAGGUAGCAGAAUUUGCUGCAAGCUGUUGGCCAUCGUGGUCCAAAGCACCAGGUGAUACAAGAAGCUUGGUGGUUGGUCAUGGGGAAUGUUGCAGGCUCGGAGCUAUAUGGUCUGAAGAGAAUUAUUUUUGCAGAUUGUGUGCUUAACACUCGCAUGCAAUUGCCACAUACGUGCAAUGCCCAGGUAAUAUUGCCUCCCGCAUGUGAAUGAAGUUUGAUAAGCGAACCUUAAUUAACAUGACUAUAUUGUUCUGCUCUUGGGUGACUUUAUGUUGUGCCCGAGAUUUUUCUAAACUUUUACUUAAACAACAAUGAUAAUUGAGUAGCGAACUAAAUGUCAGUCUUCAGUAUGCUCGAGCCAACACGAAAUUGCCAAUAUAUUAUUUCCAGAUUUUUAUUGUUUCUUGCCUAUGUUGCAAUAUGGCUGCUGUUAUAAUAUUUCAGAGACUGUCAUUGAGCUCCUCAAAACACUAGCUGAUGAGGGAAGAGUGGUAGAUGGAUGCUAGGAUGGAGGCAACAGAGAAUUGUUUUCAGUUGGAAGGUGUAAAGGCGACAAGCAAAGGCCACCCAGAGCUCUGCCAGGGCGCCUGCUAUCUUGUUUCUAGAGAAUGAGAUGUACAUCAGUUUGAUAGACUAGAAUCAAAAAACAUGGCAUGCUGAACUAGGUGUCUCAGGGGGCAGUAAUUGGAGAGCAGGUAACACCCAAAGAUACACAAACAUUGCCGAUUUACCCUUUUUGUGUUAUGACUGAAAUCUUGGCAUCAAUUUGAAAACAAGUCCUCUCGCACGGAAUAGUCUGUUACGUUCUCAUGUCUUCUCUCAUGUCUUCUCUUCUUUUUUCUUUUGCUGGAACUCUAUAUUGACUGUUUUGUUCUUUGUACCGUCACAUUGUUCCUGCAUUUUCAGUCAGUUUGUGUGUUCUUAAUGUUCGAGGAGACGACACAUUUAUUUUGGAUAGUCAAGUGCCUUGGAAGUACUUAGGCUGAAAAAAGAAGAGAUAACACUUCUAUAUCCCCGAUUUCUCUUUAAGAAAUUGUUUGUUGUGGGGAAUGGCAGCGUACAUCAUACUUUGUUAGAUUUUUUUAUAUAAAAAUAGGAUGACACAUUACCUCAUCUUAGUCAUCUGCGCUAGGUAUAACCAUCACUUUUAGUUGUGGAAGUCCCUGUUUAGUCUCUCCAUUUUUACACAGGAUACAUUUUGCUGCAAUAUGAAUAGGCUAUAUAUUGACGAAUUGCCUAUCCUAGGAUCACUUAUGAGAUAUUCAUGUAUUUAUGAAGGAAGAGAUACACUUUGAUUGAAUCAACUUUGUGUAGCUAUCAGGAUGAAGUUCAUAGUUGUUUGCCGGAAAUUGUACGACUACGUGAGGUAUGAUCUCAAAGAGAUCAUAUUCCCGUCUUCUCUGCCAGAUCAUCCGAGCACCAAGAGGCGUCCUAAGCUCACACUAAAAGAUGGAAUUCUAUACUGUAUAUGUUUCAGUGUGUGUUUUUCUUGAGCCUUGAUUUGAUUCAGAUAUGUGAACAAGAAUUUCAGCAACCAGUGUAAGGCUAUGAUGGAAGCCGAUUUCCUCUACAAGGAGGUGCCUUCAAGGAUAGACUCUUCUUCACUGUGAAGACUUCUCCGAUCUGAAGCGCAAGGAGAUACGUCAGCAAGAUAAUUAUGGCCGUCCUCCUCAUAGCCAUGUGCAUGGUCAUGCUCACCCAGCCACCCUGCCAAGCAAGAUAAUUAUGGCCGUCCUCCUCAUAACCUUUUACUAUCUCAUAGCCACCCUGUCAUCACUCUGUUACUUUUGUUAUUAAUUUCUUAUUGUAAUGUAGCUAUAAAUCUCUAUCAAAAUGCAAGGACUUGUGUCUGACUAAUUUACAUUGCAGUACGGGAGUUCACGGAGUGCAUGCCAAUGAGGAGGGAGCUGAAGAAGGUGAAGAUCCCAAUGAGAUAAAGAAGAUGAACUAGCGCUCGCCCUAGAUGCAGAUGUCUUGCAUUUAUGCCAACAACUGUUUGUGUUCAAACCUGAACAAAAACUGCUUCGUGUAGUGUUACAGGUGAGGUUUUAAUUUGCUUUCCCUUGCCCAAUCUUGUAGGAAGUUUGUUAUCUUACAUGCUAUCACAUGCUUUUCAUAAUGCAUGGACAGAAUUGCUAGCAUUGGUUGCGUAUUAGAUGAUUCUGUUGAUGCAUGGGAUGAAUUUUUAUAGAACUUAAUAGGUACCCAACAUUUAUAUAUAUGUUUGUGAGAGCUGAGAACAUUUGUGUCGGGAGUUUUCAAAGUCUCUACUCCACUACCUCCUUUCGCCAUAACUUAGGCGCUUCUCCCGCCGGCGUGCACUCAGAGGUAAAUAAAUAGGCACUCGGAUGUGAUGUGAGCUGUAAUGUGAAUUCUAAUAAGUAUUCUCUUUUCCUGAAUAUUUUCUGAUAAUUUAGUGCCACUUUAUCUGCAAAAUUGCGUUUUCUGACAAAUUGGGUUCCAGUUCACCUGUAGAAUGAGGAGGGUCAUGGUCGCUAGAGUUACUAGGAACAUUCAUAAUCUGGGAAAACAUUAUCCAGGUGGGGUAGAUAAAUAUAUGAUCAACUCCACUGUCAACUUGUCAGUUUACAAGGAUACAUGAAACUCUUCACCCAGUGAUGAUAAGAUGGCAUCCACCCUAGAUUGUGAAUUACUAUUUUUUGUAAGCAUGUUAAUGAUCGGAACCUGCAAGUGCUUGGUCAGCCGUAUGCAGAGUAAAUGAAUGUUCCUCCUCCUGGAAGGCAUAUGUAAGGCAUUGAGCUUUUGUGAGAUCUGAAUUUUGAAGUGCAACAUCAGUGAACUUGGUAGAAAAUAGUUGAAUGUGAAGAAGCAACACAAU